GAAAGAAUUUUCCUUGACGGACNCAGUUCUGNUUCCUGUAACUGAUCUGCAACAUUGUGGAAAAUGACAG
rnacentral:misc_RNA from 1 species